GCAAAACGAAUGUUGCAGUCUACUCACUUGCUCAUGAUGUGUGCAACACUCUCAACUGUCACAACCUUGUUUUUUAUCAGUCCAGCCGUUGAUGCCACCACUGGGGUCCACAGCCUCCUCACAUCACUUCCUGCCACCAACCCCACAGCCACUACUGUAUGUGAUGCCUCAAUGACAGAAUAUGACUAUGAAAUAACCAGGCGCAUAUUAGCUCCAAAGACAAAGUAUAUAAGCUAUGGUGCACUGGAUAAGAAUACUGUACCAUGUUCAAAACGUGGCGCAUCGUAUUAUAACUGUCAAGCUGGAGCUCAGGCUAAUCCCUAUUCUCGUGGUUGCAAAGCUAUCACUCGUUGUCGCCAUUAAUUUAUCUCUAAGAUUUACUACAAAAUAAUACAAAAUUCUGUAUCUUGGAAAUUUUAGACCCCUUUAUGACAUCCAUAUGUAAUCAUGGAUGAUAAUGAUAAUGUACUUCUAAUAUUUAAUUCUUUCUUUUUUUUUUUUAAUUUGUUUUUGGCAAGCAACUAAUCACAUCAAUAUUAUAAUUAUCAUAUACUGACACCAACUCAGUUAAAAUUAAAAAAUAUAGAAUUUGCAUGUUCAUUAAUCUGCAUUUUCCUAUCACAUAAUAUAGAACACCAUAUCAGAAAAUAAUAGAAAAAUGUUACAACAAGCUUAUUAAAGAUCAUGGUAUUUGGUCGUUAACUAUAUAUAUAUAUAUACUUCAAGCCUCAUGGUAUUUGGUCAUUAAUUAUAUACUUCAAGUGUAUUAAGUAGGACCAGGUGCAAGAUAAUAUCUUUCCUUAGGCGGAUAGUUUGAUUUCAAAAGUUAAAUGUGCCAAAAUGCUAAUAAGCUUUUCUGAUUGAUUAACAAUUUACGAGAAAAAGAUAAGGGAUAUGUGACUCGUAAAACUAAUUUGAAGCUUUCAGACAGGGGAUAAUAUUUCAUUAGCUUGGUUUUCCUUCACCGUGGCAGAAACGAAAAAGACUUCCAUUUAUUCUGAUCAUCCUUCUUAUCAUUUCCUAAUUAGAGUACUUUAUUAAACACAGCACCAAGUUAUGGACAUGAAUUUACUUUAUCACUAGAUAAUGAAUGAGUUGUAGAAUCGUCAUGAACACUUACAUAUGAAGAGGAAAAGGGGGAAACCUGAUAUGUUGGUGAGCACGCCACCAUGAUAUUUCGUUCUGCGUAUUACUUUUUUGUAAUUAAUAAAUCAAAUAAAACCAUUUUUUAAAAGUCAUAUACAUCUAUCAUUAUUGUAGAACAAUCUGAGAGCCAAAAAUGCUUGAUACCUAGUAUCUAGGAGGACGCCUGGAGUUCUACUUUGGAAUCCCUCUCUUCCUUCUGACAUGCUGUGUAUGAAAAAAUAAUAAGCCAAAUAGUCGGACUACCUUCAACUGUAUUGCUCACUAGUACUGUACCCAUGUUUUGAAGAUAUCACCACAUGUCUAACACAAACACACACCGUCAGUAAUUCAGUAUCAUUGCAAUACUACAUUUUAAGCUGAAGUAAUCAAAUUCUCACUGAUGCAAACAUAUAUUUUGACCUAAUUCAAUUACUAUAUUAUGCUUUUGCCCCAUGAGGAAAACCCCAUCUACCAAAAUAGAGUUAACCCUUCCAAAUCCACUACCAGCUAAACCCAACAUACAGAAAACCAGAAGCAAUUAAAUCCACUACCAGACUAAACCAACAUACAGAAAACCAGAAGCAAAUAGCGCCAAAAAACCAACCUUAAAUCGAUCAAAAAUUUGUUUUAAAUUGCACGAAAUAUAUAUUCAAAUAGCUCGAACUACCAUAUGUAUAAACCUUAGGUCUAUAACUCUUACCAUUUUAGUGCAAAACACAAACACAAAAUUACUUUCAGGGAGGAGAUAAAAAAUUGUUAUACCAAAAUGAUAUACUUUCCUUGCAUAUGAAGCUUUAAAUGGAGUGAAACCUGUAGGUGUACAACUCAAGAAAGCAUCAUGAGUACAAUAAUCAGCUCAAAUAAAUUGUUUUCUUGACAAGGUAGGGUAGUAGAGGUUCAGAAUCUGCAAGGUCAGCAAAGAAGAUAUUCACACCAAGGAAACAGGUAACCCGUUCCAAUAUUAUAAAACCCUCAACCUAAUAGUGGUAUAUGGCUAUAAC
rnacentral:lncRNA from 1 species